rnacentral:lncRNA from 1 species
AGAGUGAGAGAGCUCCUCAGCUUGAGCAAGAGAAAAGAAAGGGAGAUGUGUGAGCUGCAAUUCCUGUUCUGUCCGAGAGAAUGAAGUGAGAAAGGGAGAGAGAGCCGAGCCUUCUACUUCAUCACCUCCUGACCGCAUGCUAGAAAUAAAAGUGAGAGACCUGCUGCUUUCCCUCAUCUCAUCCGCCAGCCUGUAUAAGAGAAGGAGAGGAAACGGGCUGCACUUCGAACCAUCCGAGAGAAGGAAAAAUUGACAGCACCUUGUCGCGUGUAUAAGCUGCAACCUGAGGUAAUUUCUGAGUUAGAAGGAGUUGAUUAGUGGUAGAUGCAGUGAAUUAUGGUCAUGCAUGAAGUGUUUAUGUCUCGGAUGAUGAAACCAAAGCAUGAGAAAAUCUGAUUAGGAAGAAAUUGGAAUUUGCCGUGGGAGUGAUUUGGAAAAUGCAGAUUUAAUUCUGUCUCUUCGUAGUAGUUUGAGCUGAUAGAUGCGUUUAACUAAUUAAGAACAAGGUAAUUAAGCUCUGCAUGCAGCCCCUUGGUUCGGUUAUGCUAGAAAAAUAAGAAUGAAAAACAAUCUGGCCGCAUGCAAGCUCAUCCGAAGGUAGCAAACAGAAUUUCUGGUUUUCUUGGAUGAUUAUGGCUGUUGUUUGAAUCCGAUUUUGAACUAGAAAUAUUGAUUAGCUAGAGAAGUAUUUGCAUGUUAAUUUUUAGCACCUAAUACCAUGAAUUAACCGAAGGAAAAGUUGGAUUUAUGACCAAUCUAAUUGCUAGAAAUCUGUUGAGUUGGCCGAGAGAGGGAAAGAAAGAAUUUCCAGUUUUUCUCUUCAAAUCUUGGCUGCAAAUUUCGUAUUAUGGUUCAAUAUACCUCAUAACACAAUAAUCACCAUAUGCAUGCUGAGUUUGAGUGAACAAAGUAAUGAAUUUUGUUAGGGAAAAGUUCGUUUUCCAAACUAUCUAUUUGCUGCAAUUUUUCCAGCCUAGCCGAUGGUGACUCCUUUGAGUUUUAAUGGAAAAUUUGGUGAGUGGACUCUAUGAAAUCCCACAAUAACUUGGAUGAUCUGAUUAGCUAGGAUUGGAUGCUGCUUGUGUUGAUUAAGUGCUAAUGUAGUAGAGUUAAGUGGCAAAAUUGAAAAGGAAGCCAAUUGAGGAGCUGCAUGUAAUGACGCCGCUUCUGCCCUGCUAUUUUCGUGCAUUUAGUGUAAUUUCUUGAAGUUCAAUUGACUUGUUCCUGAUGCAAAUGUGAAAUAUAGGUUGUGUUUAAAGUUUCUUCAAAAUUUUACGUGAUUUGGGUGAGUGCAUGUUGAGUUUUAAAAUCUGCCAAAUCUGGAAAACUGUUCCCGUAAUACUCAGGCAGUCCCCUUGUUUUGGCCAUAACUCUGUACUCCGAUGUCGAAAUUGAGUACCGUCAGUGGCAUUUGAAACUAGACAUUCCUAGCUUUCCAUUGGUACCAAAUGAACAUUCUGGUUCCACUUGAGUAAGCCACACCAUUCGAUUGAAAAUCACUGUCCUGUUUCGUUUCUCUCUAGGAGACAGGACAGGACUUGUAUCUUGAUGCUCAAAAACGAGUUGUUUGUGAAUGGAAUUUGAAAAUGAUUUCUUCUGUGAAAUUAUAGCCCUACAAAUUUAUUUUCCAACGCCACUAACCAUGCUCAAUUCUGAGUUGAAUUGAGUGAUUUGUGAUCAAAAUAAGGAACCUGCCCUGCUCUUGGAAAUCCUAACUUUUGACAGAUUUGAUGCAAGGCUUGGUAUAGACUUGCUAAUUAAAUUUCUUGGUGUUAAACACCCACCAAAGGUACCAUGAAUGUUCUUUAAAUUUUGCCUAAACAAAUGAACCAGGUUUGGAGGAAUUUUUCUUUGACCAAAUGUCUGAAAUGGAAAAACAAAAGGUUCAAGGCAGUUUUGUUUUACUAUUUGUGAAAUUUUAGGUGUUUGAUUGACCACCUUUCCGAAGUUAUUUUUCCAUGAAAUUUGGUAGAAGGACAACCCUUAUAUGCUAGUAUUAUACUGCUAAUUAUGGUGUUAUUCUGAGGCCGUUUCAUGGGUCAAAUAAAUUACCAAAGUUCAUGACUCGAGUUUGAAAAAUCCAUGUUUCACAAGGGAAUUUUAGUAACUUUGAGCUACCGUAUCUUGGUACUCAAAACCCCGUUUCUCGUUCUGUUUGUUUUGUUAUACUCUUGGAUUACAACACUAAUAGAGUUGAAAAUUUCAAAAGUUAGUUCCAAACAAGUGAAUUUUGCCGAAUUUCCAAAGUUGGCCAAAAACCAACUUAAAUCUGCCUUAUGAACCAAAACAGUAAAUUUGAGCCAUUUUUUUACUAUCUUCCAUUUAGAAUCAUGGAAAAGUGUAUUUUAGGAACUUUUAGUACUUUGGAAGAGGUUUCCAACGGUACCAAGUUUUCCAAUUUUUGACAUGUAGAAUGUGAGAUACGAUUUUUCAAAGUAUCGUAUCAAAACUGAAAAUUUUCCGAAUUCCACGGAAGGGAGUUUUUCAAGUACUCCUUAUUCCUUCGAUAUUAUUCAAAUGUUUUAUCCUUGAUUUUCAUGAUGUAGACUUAAUUUCUCUUGUACCUUAAAACCCCGCUUGAGAGUCUCGAUUUAGGAUAAUUAAGGCUUGUUUCACGAGAUUUUUGCUAAGAUUGUACUAUGAUACGAUCUUCAUCAAUAGUGGGGAUUAUAAAUGAUAGACUAUUACUAUUUGUUCAGGCGCACACGAGGACCUUCAAGAGGAUCCGACAGAGGACGCUUGAACUUCAAAUU